UCCAGGCUUUGGCCAAGGCCAGUGCAGCCCCAGGUUCCCGAGCGGCAGGUUGGGUGCGGACCAUGGCCUCUCACAAGCUGCUGGUGACCCCCCCCAAGGCCCUGCUCAAGCCCCUCUCCAUCCCCAACCGGCUCCUGCUGGGGCCUGGUCCCUCCAACCUGGCUCCUCGCAUCAUGGCAGCCGGGGGGCUGCAGAUGAUCGGGCCCAUGAGCAAGGAUAUGUACCAGAUCAUGGACGAGAUCAAGGAAGGCAUCCAGUACGUGUUCCAGACCAGGAACCCACUCACACUGGUCAUCUCUGGCUCGGGACACUGUGCCCUGGAGGCCGCCCUGGUCAAUGUGCUGGAGCCUGGGGACUCCUUCCUGGUUGGGGCCAAUGGCAUUUGGGGGCAGCGAGCCGUGGACAUCGGGGAGCGCAUAGGAGCCCGAGUGCACCCGAUGACCAAGGACCCUGGAGGCCACUACACACUGCAGGAGGUGGAGGAGGGCCUGGCCCAGCACAAGCCAGUGCUGCUGUUCUUAACCCACGGGGAGUCGUCCACCGGCGUGCUGCAGCCCCUUGAUGGCUUCGGGGAACUCUGCCACAGGUACAAGUGCCUGCUCCUGGUGGAUUCGGUGGUAUCCCUGGGCGGGACCCCCCUUUACAUGGACCAGCAAGGCAUCGACAUCCUGUACUCGGGCUCCCAGAAGGCCCUGAACGCCCCUCCAGGGACCUCGCUCAUCUCCUUCAGUGACAAGGCCAAAAAGAAGAUGUACUCCCGCAGGACGAAGCCCUUCUCCUUCUACCUGGACAUCAAGUGGCUGGCCAACUUCUGGGGCUGUGACCACCAGCCCAGGAUGUACCAUCACACAAUCCCGGUCAUCAGCCUGUACAGCCUGAGAGAGAGCCUGGCCCUCAUUGCGGAACAGGUGCAUGGGCUGCACUCCACAGGAGGAGACAGGGCCACUGGCUGGAUUGUCGAGGGCGCGGCCUGCAGAGAAGGAACCAUCCCUGGGCCUGGAGAACAGCUGGCGCCAGCACCGCGAGGCCGCGGCGUAUCUGCAUGGGCGCCUGCAGGCACUGGGGCUGCAGCUCUUCGUGAAGGACCCGGCGCUCCGGCUUCCCACAGUCACUACUGUGGCUGUACCCGCUGGCUAUGACUGGAGAGACAUCGUCAGCUACGUCAUGGACCACUUCGACAUUGAGAUCAUGGGUGGCCUUGGGCCCUCCACGGGGAAGGUGCUGCGGAUCGGCCUGCUGGGCUGCAAUGCCACCCGCGAGAAUGUGGACCGUGUGACGGAGGCCCUGAGGGCGGCCCUGCAGCACUGCCCCAAGAAGAAGCUGUGACCUGCCCGCUGGCCCACAGCUGGCGCUGGCACACACCUGGCACUGGCACACACCUGUCCCAUGCCCACCCUGAGGGAUCAGGAGCAAACAGACCCUGCAAGGUCCUCCAGGCCUGGGGACAGAAAAGCCACUGACCCAGCCCGGGAGGCAGAACCAGGCAGCCUCCCUGGCCCCAGGCAGCCCUUUUCCCUCCAGUGGCACCUCCUGGAAACAGUCCACUUGGGCGCAGAACCCAGUGCCUUCCAAAUGAGCUGCAGUCCCCAGGCCAUGAGCCUCCCGGGAAUGUUUAAUAAAGGGCCUGGCCACCUCUCCUCA